ACAGUGUGAAGCUUUGUGCUUUCACUGUUUGCAAUAAAUCUUGUUGCUGCUCACUCUUGGGGUCCAUACAGCUUUUAUGAGCUGUAAGACUCACUGGGAAGGUCUGCAACUUCUCUCCUGAGGCCAGCGAGACCAGGAACCCACUGGGAGGUAUGAACAACUCCAGACAGGAGAAACGAGUAACUCUAUACCACCUUAAGAGCUGUAACACUGAACUUUGAAAGUAUGUAGCUUCACUGCUGAAACCAGCAAGACCACGAACCCACCAGAAGGAAGAAACUGAACACGUCUGAACAUCAGAAGGAACAAACUCCAGACCCACCACUUUUAAGAACUGUAACACUCACCACGAGGGUCCACGGCUUCAUUCUUUAAGUCAGUGAGACCAAGAACCCACCAAUUCCAGACAGCAGGAUAAGAAAGAAAGGAAAAUGGGGACUUGUGUUACACAUGAUUUGAAAGAUGGUUGAAUCCAUGGAUGUGGAACCCACAGAUAUGGAGGGCUGACUUUGUUCAACUAUGCUAAUCCUUUGGCCGGGUCACAUUCCUGUACCUCAGCUACUUUAUAAUCUGAAAGCUGUUACUGCAUGGAAAGACCCAUUCCUCUCAGGCCACCAACAAUGGUACCAAGAGAAGUGGAGCACUUCUAUAAGAUAGCUGAACAUAUGAAAGCAACUUUGGAUAACAGGAAGAGGUUAGAAUGCUUUGGAGGGCUCAGAAGAAGAAAGGAGGAUGUGGAAAAGUGUGGAAUUUCCUAGAGACCUAUUGAAUGCUUUUUACCAAAAUUCUGAUCGUGACAUGGACAAUGAAAUCCAGGUGGAGGUGGUCUCGGAUGGAAAUGAAGAGCUUACUGGGAGCUGGAGUAAAGGUCACUCUUCCUCUGCUUUAGCAAAGAGACUGAAUACAUUUUGCUUCUUCCCCACAGAUCCCUAGAGAUCUGUGGAACUUUGAACUUGAGAGAGAUGAUUUAGGGUAUCUGGUGGAAGAAAUAUCUAAGCAGCAAAGCAUCUGAGAUGUGACCUGUCUCCAAAAGUGUAUAGUCAUAUGUGUUCACAAAGAGAUGGUCUGAAAUUGGAACUUCUGUUUAAAAGGGAAACAGAACAUAAAUAUCUGGAAAAUUUGCAGCCUGACCAUGUGGU